rnacentral:tRNA from 1 species
GGGCGAUUAACUCAGCGGCUAGAGUGCCUCGCUUACACCGAGGACGUCGGGGGUUCGAAUCCCUCAUCGCCCA